CCACAACGGCCAGAGUGGUUCAAACACAAAGAGUUGGAGGUGGUUUGAACCCUAUAUAUGGACAUAGAGCAGCAGGCAAUGGGAGGACAGGCGGCCUUGACACGACCGUGGGUUUGUUGGAAUCCCUGAUUGAGGAUGGCAGGAGAAAACAUCAGGAACAGAAGUAUCUGAUUGUGCUGAGGGAGUUGCAGGCAGCAGAUGUGGAGCAGCAAGAGCUGAGCCGGGCACAGCGAGAGCAGCAUUUACAGAUGACCGUCGAUGAUGCAACCUGAGCAAGGGAGCUGGAAGCAGUCUUGAGGAGGAGAGUUCUGUGACUACAGCCUUAAAUCAAGCCCUCCUUAGUACGCUGAGCCAGCUUGUGCAGGCACUGAGUAGCCGCUUCCUUCCCCCUUAUGCCUUAAGUAUAUUGCUUGUACCUUGCACUCAUUUGUAUUUACAUUACAUUUAACAUCAUAUAACAUUUGACUUGUGUAUGUAGUUUUCUGUGUUACACUGAGUUGUUUGCAUAUAAUUUGCUUUAAUUGCGUUUGUUAAAUAAACCAAUAAACUUGUUACACAUUUUCAUUAUGGUUUCCUAUUUCAAGGACUUUAGCAUUUAAUUUACCAAAUAGUAAACCCUGAUAACUUUUAAAAAACAGUUCAGCAAAAUUGUGGAAUGAUGGAAUGAAAAAUAUAUUUAUGUUUAAUACAGUAAAGACAAAAUUAAUAACAGGCUCUGCUGCUGUUGCAGGUGCAUCCCACCCUUUGUCAUAGUCCUCUCCAUGACGCUUGGGAAGGUUAUGCAGAGCACAGCAAUGCAGCACCCUAGAUUUGACAUCACAGUCAUUUCUCUUCACGAGGAGGCGCUGCCUUCCCUUCUGUCUACCAAAAGCAACUUCAACCACUAACUGUGCUCUGCUGAUUUUCUGCUGUUCUGCUGACAGCCGUGAAUUGUCAGGAAUUGGUUUUAAGAGCUAUUUCUGAAUGGGAUAGUCAAAGAGUAGCCAAUAUUCAUCACCCCCCACCACUGGCCCCCCACCCCCCAAAACACAGUACCCCCUAAGACUUGUAAACAAACUCAGAGAAUUAGAGGCUGGCAAAGUACAAGCAGCAGAUUAUUCAGGAACCCUGAGUAUCAGUGUGAGUGUUGGCAUAAGCAGAAUGCACGAGAGCCCAGAUGUGUAAAAUGGAUCAUGGACAUGAGCCAUUAGAUGGAAACAUGCCACUAGAAAAAAGCUUCCGUACCUGCUUCAACUACAGCAAAGGUCAUUGUUAUUGUUAUUUCUUUCUUCUAUUGUGAUGUGAACUGAGAGUCUGCAGGCUCAGCUAGACAAGGACACUAACCGUGCUUUAAGAGCACUGAAGAAAGAAGUCAUUGAAACAUUUUCAUAGUCUAUGUGCUUGUUGAGCAACUUUUACCGGAAUGAAUUAUAGCUUUCAAAAAUAUCUCAUGGUCCUCCUGAGUGGAUGGAGUAGUCUACAUGGUGGGAAAACUUGGCUCCUGUUCCCUCUUUCAAGAUGGUCUUUUUCCUUGAAUGUGAAUGACUGCCUUGAUCUUUUUCUGGCUGUCCACUCACUCCUGGCUGCUGAUGUUGACUCCCUCCUAGUUAAAGCUGUGACCGGGUUCGGUCUUGUGUUCACAGACAGUGGAUGUUGAAACAUUGAAAAUGUAUGUUGGACUUCCGGUGGCUCGACAAUCAGCAUGGCAGCAUAGAAAGGAGCUCUUGCAUCGGAAGUAAUUCAAAUUCCUCACUUGGUGGAAGUGACUUAUGAUAAGCUAGAUGGAAGUAGAAAUUCGAAAAGGCGCCAAUACAAGUGAAACCUGCAAGGGUUGAAAAUGGCGACAAGACGGAGGACGGGCCCUCACCAAUUAUACUCAGCUCCCUCCAAAAAGUUGUGAGUGAGGUGAUAGAUGAAGGCAUGUGGGACCUAAACCCAGAAAUGAAAAAUGAAUUGUUGCAGAUCUGACUCAGUUUUUGAGAAGAUAUUAAAGUGCAAUUGGAUGAUCUAACAUCCGGGAAUCAAUCGGCAAGUCAGACUGGAAACCCAGUCUACUUUUGGAGAGAUUUGCGAAAAUAUUUGAUCCAUUUCUUUAUUACCCCCAAUCAGAAAUCCUAAUGAAGUGGGUUUCAGUAUUCUCUCUGGAGGGAGUGUGGAUUGGUUUCAGUGGACCGCAUACACCUUUCUGUAACUUCAAAAUAUUUUGAAAGGUAACGCAAGGUAAAAGCGUAAAAGUGACACAUACCUUUUGAAGAUUUUUAUGGCUGCAAGUAAAAAAAUAGUUACAAAGUGCUGGCAACAUAGGGACCCUCCUGUCAUUGCCCUCCUUAAUCAACAUAAUCAACUCUAUUAGCUCAGUGGAAAAAAAUACUCUGCUAUGAUUACUACUAAACACACCUACGAUCAGGCCUUUCUGUCCCGCCCACCACCGCUGCUUGCGCUAGGUUGACAGGUGAAAGAGCAGAAAGUAUCAAGAUGGUUAUCCACACAUUUCAGCCUCAGUCAGACCGAGACUGAUGUAUCAGUCUGUUAUUAGUUAUAAGAUUUAUCAGAACAUUUAUCAUAGUUAUGUGUUAAUGUUGUUUGUUAACUUGUAACUGGUAGUGGCUGAGACAGUUGGCUGUGCUAAGGCAAACUCUUGCUCUCAAGUUUUGGUGACAGGUGAAAGAGCAGUGCGUAUCAGGAUCGUUAGCAUUAGAGGAAUCAUUGGAGAGACUCAGCCAUAUGUUUGAGUCUCAGUCAGACCCAGAUUCACAUGAGGAGUCUGUUGUGACCAAAACUGGUGACUAGCAGACGAAUCAGAACAUUAGCUUGCAACUGGCAGCGGCUGACACAGUGUUAAUGGUUAUGCUAAAGCAAACUCUUGCUUUCUGUACUGACGAGGUUUCAGGUUUGUUUUGCCCGUCCCUGCAAGUUGACAGGAUUGUUUCCUUACGUUAUAUGACAUGUGAAUCCCUGGCUGUCUGAUUACGUUUUUAUGAGAUUUUCAUUGAUUCACUGUAGUUCCAAGGUGGUAAUAUGCAGUCAUGGUGUCAACUGCUUAUUUCACUCAUGAUAUGUUUUAUAUAAAAAACACACAAUAUGGACAUGAUAACAAGGUUAAAAACUUUUUUAUUUUGAUCAGAAACUAUUCUAUCUUUAACUAUUGCACUUUCUCUGUCUGAACCUUUCUAUAUGCACAAUGCACUGUACCUGCUCUGUUAUUUCUUUUUUGUCGAUUAUGCGGUAAUGUCCCAGAUCUCAUCUGUUCUGUUUGAAUACUAAAAUUAAAAAAAAAUGAAAGCAUUAAAAAAAGAAAGAAAAUGUCUUCACCCGCCAAUUUUACUCAAAGGUCAUCAAGAACUGAAACAGGUCACUUUGAUAGAACUUUAAUAUCGCAAGUCCUGUUCAGUCAUAAAAAUGUGUUUUCAUCUGCCAAUUUCAAAGAGAUUUAAUAGUACGGCAAAUUAUUAACAGCCUCGUACUCCCACACAAGUGUUUUCAAUUACUGUAGUAAUGCAGGCAUGUACACACUAUGUUUUUAUUGAUUUACAUUAUUUACCUCUACAUUAUUUCUUCAAUUAAAAUAAAUUGUAAAUAUAUAGUACUGUGCUUGAAAUCACUAUAUUAAUCAUAAGGGCCUAUUCAGAAGAAGAAAAAACAUACUGAUUUGGAUGAGGUCAUAGCUCAUGUGCAUCAGGAAGUACAAUGCAAUGCAUACCGUUGCACCACCUCACUAACCUGUGUAUGUGGCAUUCCCUGUGCUCCGGCAGCGUCUCUGGUGUGGUGAGGUUUAUAAAGUGAAGUGAUUUGCUUCCUGAUAAAAUAUUUUUUAUUUUUUUUACAGUUGUUUUCCUCAAGUCAAUUUGUGACUUUAAUCUCAAUAUUACCCCCUCUCCGGCUCCAUAAUUUUCUCUUUUACCUACAAUGGCUGAAAUACACCGGCAUAGUAAAUUCAGUCAAUCUCAAAAAAGAAAAAGAAAAAAGAAGUAAUAAUCUAUGAAUAGGCUUAAAAGACAAAGGAAGGUGUUUAUCUUCAUAAAUGUCAGUAUUCUUGUAAAUGCUCUGGCAAGCAGGUGACUGAAGACAGAAGAAAGGCUGUUUUAACUGUGUACUUUGGCACUUUACUUGCUACUCAGUUCAGUGGGUUGUCUUCAUUCUGGCUGCUGCUGUAAAUGUUUGGACAUCUCUUCUGUUCAUCAUUCUCAUCCACAUGUCUUGUGCACUUUGACCAAAGCAGGAAUUAUGACAUUAUGAACAGGCGUAUAACCUUGUUUAACCCAGUUCCUCUUCUCAUGCAGUUGUACGACCUCUCUAAACUUUGGUACAGUCACGUGUGAAACUAUGUUGUCCACAAUGUUUAAGUCAAUGAUUCAUGUUCAUAUGAUUUUAAAUAAACCACAUGUGAUGAAUCUCA